GUUCUAGAUGAGGCUGGACGGAGCAGAACGGAGGGAGAGGGAGGGAAGUAGGCCGAGGUUUCUUCAGACGACGAGGGGGCAACGGUGGAGGACGUGGACCUGGAAGAAGAUUGACACAUUUGAAUAUUUUUAAGAAUCAAAAUCAGAUUCGGGGGCACCUGAUGGGUCUCACCAAACAGUCUUAGUGUUUCCUCAUUGGCUUUCAUCACGGUCAGGGACGCUCCAGUCAUCUCCAGUGAUGUCAUGAAGGAUCCAGACAUCACCCUGGCAACCACCAGCCCGCGGUCCUCUGUAACCGUGGAGAACGUCACUUUUCAACAAACUCUCACCCAGUCCCAGCUCCAUGUCUCCUGGUGGCAGGUCAAAUGAAGGGAGGCAGCCUGGGACGCUGCAUGGAGACAGACUCACUCCCAGUGUCCCUGGAAUACAAACCACAAACCAACUUAUAUUAUUAUGAGCUAAUAUAAAUAACAUAUAUAACAUAAAAUAAGUGAAUAA